AUGCAUGUCUAAGUAUAAAUGCUUUAUACUGUGAAACUGCGAAUGGCUCAUUAAAUCAGUUAGAGUUUUUUUGAUAAAUUUUUGCUACUUGGAUACCUGUAGUAAAUCUAGAGCUAAUACAUGCCUCUAAACCCGACUUUUUGAAGGGUGGUGUUUAUUAGAAUUUUCAAACCAAUGAUGAAGUUUACUUCAUGUUUGAUGACUCAUGAUAAAUUUGCGAAUCGCAAGACUUUAUGUUGGCGAUGUAUCAAUUAAAUUUCUGCACUAUUAACUUUUGAUGUAAGUGUAUUGUACUUACAUGGUUUUGAUGGUUAACGGAGGAUUAGGGUUUGAUUCCGGAGAGGGAGCCUGAGAAAUGGCUACCACAUCCAAGGAAGGCAGCAGGCGCGCAAAUUACCCAAUCUCAAUACGAGGAGGUAGUGACAAUAAAUAACAAUGCAGGGCUUUUUAAGUCUUGCAAUUGGAAUGAGUACAAUUUAAAACCCUUAACGAGAAACAAUUGGAGGGCAAGUCUGGUGCCAGCAGCCGCGGUAAUUCCAGCUCCAAUAGCGUAUAUUUAUGUUGUUGCAGUUGAAAAGCUCGUAGUUGGAUUUGAGGUUUAGGGAUAUGGUCUCAUCUUCGGAUGUUGUACUGUAUUUCUUUAUCUUUUACAUGAGAAGGUAUUCUGUUCUUUAUUGGAUGGUUUAUUGACUCAUGUCUUUUACUUUGAAAAAAUUAGAGUGUUCAAAGCAGGCUUAUGCCUUGAAUACAUUAGCAUGGAAUAAUAAGAUAGGACUUUUGUCUAUUUUGUUGGUUUUUAUGGACUGAAGUAAUGAUUAAUAGGGGCAGUGGGGACAUUAAUAUUUAAUUGUCAGAGGUGAAAUUCUUGGAUUUAUUAAAGAUUAACUACUGCGAAAGCAUUUGUCAAGGAUGUUUUCAUUAAUCAAGAACGAAAGUUGGGGGAUCGAAGACGAUCAGAUACCGUCGUAGUCUCAACCAUAAACUAUGCCGACGAGAAAUUAGUGAAUGUUUAUUCAUUGACUUCAUUAGCUUCUUCCGAGAAAUCAAAGUUUUUGGGUUCUGGGGGGAGUAUGGUCGCAAGGCUGAAACUUAAAGGAAUUGACGGAAGGGCACCACCAGGAGUGGAGCCUGCGGCUUAAUUUGACCCAACACGGGAAAACUUACCAGGUCCAGACAUAAGAAGGAUUGACAGAUUGAGAGCUCUUUCUUGAUUUUAUGGGUGGUGGUGCAUGGCCGUUCUUAGUUGGUGGAGUGAUUUGUCUGCUUAAUUGCGAUAACGAACGAGACCUUAACCUACUAAAUAGCUACGUGAAACCUAGUUUCAUGGCCAGCUUCUUAGAGGGACUAUAUAAGUCAAUUAUAUGGAAGUUUGAGGCAAUAACAGGUCUGUGAUGCCCUUAGAUGUUCUGGGCCGCACGCGCGCUACACUGACGAAUUCAACGAGUUUUAACCUUAACCGAUAGGUUUGGGUAAUCUUUUAAAAGUUCGUCGUGCUGGGGAUUGACAAUUG
rnacentral:rRNA from 1 species